GACGAACGCUGGCGGCGUGCUUAACACAUGCAAGUCGAGCGGAGCGGCGAACGGGUGAGUAACGCGUGAGUAACUGCCCCCCUCUCUGGGAUCACAGUUGGAAACGGCUACUAAUACCGGCUAGUGUGGGAUGACUCGCGUCCUAUCAGCUUGUUGGUGGGGUAGUGACCUACCAAGGCGACGACGGGUAGCCGGCCGGAGAGGGCGACCGGCCACUGUGGGCGUAGAGACGGCCCAAACUCCGACGGGAGGCAGCAGGGGGGAAUAUUGCACAAUGGGGGAAACCCUGAGGCAGCAGCGCCGCGUGCGGGAUGACGGCCUUCGGGUUGUAAACCGCUUUCAGCCAUGACGCGGUAGUGGCAGAAGAAGCACCGGCUAACUACGUGCCAGCAGCCGCGGUAAUUC
rnacentral:rRNA from 1 species